rnacentral:lncRNA from 1 species
UAAAGAAUCUAAGGGGAUAUUACUUCUACCAUGCUAAAGAAUAAAAAUUGUUCGUCAUUCUUUUUUGAAAAAGAGUACCUUGGUGAAGGAACUAAUGCCUCUAAUGUGGAACUUAUAAAGUUUGACAGAUAGAAGAACUGACACAAUCUAAUAAACACAUAAAAUUGAAUUUGAUUAGAUCAAACCUGAAACCCGUUAUAGAGGCACCAUUAAAG